rnacentral:SRP_RNA from 1 species
UUUCCGGCCAGACACCGUGCUUGGAAGCGACCCCGCGCUCCUCACCGCGCCACUGCUGCGCCAACUGGGCGAGACGGCCGGCAA